rnacentral:rRNA from 1 species
CCCUAUGGGUGCCAGGUUCUUGCAAUAACCGACAAUCCACUCUCUCCUACCGGAAGACUUGCCGACAUUGUACUCCCGGUGGAAUAUGAGAGCAUGAGUUUUUUCAACUCGAAUGUAGCGGUUAUGGCCUUGCUGAAUAGUUUAGCUACAGGAGCAUCUUUGAAGAAUCGUUAUAUAGCCCGUGAAAGAGUGAAAAAUUUCAGUGAUAUGGCGUCCGAUUGGGAUAUUUUCUUCAAUGAAAAUUCUAUACAGAGAGAACAGGUGAAAAAAUAAUGCGGUUAAGCGACAGAAUUGACAGGAUGAAGCCUUCCGCUACAUCUCUUAUGGCAGCAAAAGCCCGAGAAAUGAAAAGUCUCGGAAUGGACGUUAUUUCCUUUGCCACGGGAGAGC